rnacentral:rRNA from 1 species
UACGUAGGGGGCAAGCGUUGUCCGGAUUUACUGGGCGUAAAGGGCUCGUAGGCGGCCAACUAAGUCGGAUGUGAAAUCCCCAGGCUCAACUUGGGAACUGCAUCCGAUACUGGAUGGCUUGAAUUCGGGAGAGGGAUGCAGAAUUCCAGGUGUAGCGGUGAAAUGCGUAGAUAUCUGGAGGAAUACCGGUGGCGAAGGCGGCAUCCUGGACCGACAUUGACGCUGAGGAGCGAAAGCUAGGGGAGCAAACGGG